rnacentral:rRNA from 1 species
CAGGCCUAACACAUGCAAGUCGAGCGGUAGAGAGGUGCUUGCAUCUCUUGAGAGCGGCGGACGGGUGAGUAAUGCCUAGGAAUCUGCCUGGUGGUGGGGGAUAACGUUCGGAAACGGACGCUAAUACCGCAUACGUCCUACGGGAGAAAGCGGGGGAUCUUCGGACCUCGCGCCAUUAGAUGAGCCUAGGUCGGAUUAGCUAGUUGGUGAGGUAAUGGCUCACCAAGGCGACGAUCCGUAACUGGUCUGAGAGGAUGAUCAGUCACACUGGAACUGAGACACGGUCCAGACUCCUACGGGAGGCAGCAGUGGGGAAUUUUGGACAAUGGGGGCAACCCUGAUCCAGCAAUGCCGCGUGAGUGAAGAAGGCCUUCGGGUUGUAAAGCUCUUUUGUCAGGGAAGAAACGGUGAGUUCUAAUAAAGCUUGCUAAUGACGGUACCUGAAGAAUAAGCACCGGCUAACUACGUG